rnacentral:lncRNA from 1 species
GUGGUGGGGUGUAUGCUGUUCUGGCCUGGGGUUGGGAGCGGGCAGAAACUCACUCACCUAGUUCCAGGUCAGUCGGCGGCGGAAUCGUGACUGUAAGAUCUUGAAAGAGCCACCUCCUGAGGGAUGUUGCCUCCCACAGUGAGCUGGACCCUGUUACAUCAAUUAACAAUCGAGAAAAUCCCCACAGAUCAAUCUGAUCUAGGGAAUCCCUCAGUUUAGGCAGGCUGUGCCUCACUAAAGCUAUCUAGGACAGAGUCCAACAUAUGUAAAAUAGUAAUUGCCACAGUGUAUUAGUUACACCUCCUUCCCUUUGCCUUUAAAAGGGGAUAUGGCAUUUUCAAAAAUAACUGUUGGUGAGAUUUGAAGAAAUUCACACAUGUACAUUGUUGGAGGGAAUCUAGAAUGAUGCUGUGUGUGGAACAUAAUUCUGGCAGUGCCUCCAAAAGCUGAAUGUAGUAUUAUCAUAUGACCUAUAAGUUCUGUGCAGAUGUACUCCAUGAGCUUUGUUUAUAAAAAUUGCACAUGAUUAUACAUAAUUAUUCACAUUGUGCAUUUUUUUAAAUACAGGGUUUCUCUGUAGCUUUGGAGCCUGUCCUGGAACUCCCUCUGUAGACCAUGCUGGCCUCAAACUCACAGAGAUCCUCCAAUCUCUGUCUCCUGAGUGCUGGGAUUAAAGGUGUGUAUCACCACCUCCUGGCUCACAUUAUACAUCCUUAUUCCUAAUAGUAAAAAUUAUGGCUACAACCCAAAUGUUUAUCAACUGGUGAAUAGUUAGAUAAAAUAUGGUAUGUAUCGUAUACUGGAAUUUUCAACUGCAGAAAGGAUAUAAGGAGUGAUAAAUACCACAAAAGGAUAAACACAAAACACAUUGUACUAAGUGAAAAAAGGCAACCACAAAACUCUACUUACUGUAUGCACUCAGCUGUAUGAAAUGUUCAGAAUAGACAAAUCUAGAGACAGUAGACCUUUGGUUUCUUAGAAAUAGAUGAAUUGGAGUUUACAGAAGGUCAUAGCUAAAAGGCACAGGCAACUUCUAAGGGUGAUGGAGUUAUCCUUUAAUUACCUGGUGGUAAUGUCUGGACCACUUUAUGAAUAUAGCAACAACUACAUACUUGAACACUUUAAAGAGGUGAAAUUUACACUAUGAUUAUUAUAUUUUAAUUAAUUAAACUUUCUGGAAGAGACAAUACUUGUCUAAAUGAACAGUUUAACGGUUUGGAUAAGAAUGGCCCCCAAAGGCUCAUAGAUUUGAAUGUUUGAGAAUGGCAUUAAUUAUUUGAAAGGACUAGGAGGUGUGGCCUUCUUGGAAGAAGUGAGUCAUUGGGAGUGGGCUUUGAGGUUUAAAAAGCCCACAGCAGGCCCAGCAUGGCUCUAUUUUCCUGCUGUCUGCUGAUGCAGGUUUAGAACUCUCAACUACUUUUUUCCAGCACCACGUCUGCUUCUCACCCAACAGGCUCUUUGCCAUGAUGACAAUGGAUUAAACCUCUGAAUUGCAGACUAGCCCCCAGCUAAAUGCUUUCCUUUAAAAGAGUUGUCAUGGUCAUAGUGUCUCUUCACAGCAAUAGAGCACUGACAAAGAUAAACAGCAAGUUCAUAUUUUUAAUAGUACACACAGAAACUUUACAUUUACAAGGUGCUUAUCACAGUGACCUGUAUGCAGAGGGACUUUCAGUGGAGGGAGACCUGAGCAGGCGGGAGACCAGUGAGGAAAUGAGAUUUUUCAAAAACAUAAAAUUUAAUAUUUAAAGUGAUUUGUAGCUUUAAUACUUUAUAUUGAAAUGUAAGCCAUAUGAGUAUAUUAUUUUAUUAAAAAUAGGAAUAAAAGCCAUAUAUCUUGCAUUUGGGGAUUUUCUUAUGUGAUAAUGAAGGUUAAAUGCAGGGUUUCACACUUCUCUACCAAUGAGCUACACAUCUAGCCUCUCCAUCAUUUUUACUUUUUUUCUGAGUCAGAUUCUUGCUAAGUUCACUAGACUCUCAUCUGAACUUCUUCAGAGGCUGAGAUUAUAGAUGCGUCUCACCAUGCUCAUUAUGUUAGAAUUUUAUCCCAGUUAGCUUGGUCUCCUAGAUGUGAGAAAUUGAGUACACAUAUACUGUUUGUUUUGAGAAACUUGAUUAAUUAUUAGUUUCCUUUACUACUUACAAUGCUUAGUUUACAUCCUGGGGAACCCUUUCUCUUAAGGAUGCAGGGUUUUCUAAAACUGAUUUUUCUUCUUUAUUUAUUUGUUUUACCUAUAUUGAAUAGAAACAAGUUCAAAUAAUAAAUAUUUAUGUAUGUGUAUGUAUAUGUGUGUAUGCAUAUGUAGACAUGAUUAGUGAAGCAAAAUAGUUUCACAUAAUAUUCUUACACUCUUUUAAAUUCUCCAAAAAAGUAGGAGAUACACUUGUAUAUACACAAACAUACAUACACAGAUUAACUCAUAGUAAGUAUGAACAUUUUAACAUCUUAGGAUUCUCACUUUUAGAAAAAUACAGCAUGUUCCUAUUUGCAUGUAAUAUCAAGCAUGUUUUUUACCCAAAAAGCAAUUCUGUCUUGUCUGGGAGACAAAUGAGUCCAAAUCUUCAGCUUAGCAUUUUAUGUCUCUUACUGAAAACUUCUUGACAAGGUCAGAAACUCCUGGUUCUGAGUAUCUCAAACCUGUUUGUCUCCACAUUCAUCACAUGACAGAACUGAAUGAGUUCCAGUUUGGGCAUCUGGACUACUCAUGGAAAUUUUAUCUUGGAAGGCCAGCAAUUACCUACACACAGAAAGAUGAUAGGUGUCCACACUAAAAUAUCCCACUAAGUCCUAGCUAAAUGUGUAUCUAAGUCCACUGUCAUCUAAGCCAGAUCUUUGGGACACUUCUGGCCAUUCCAGUACCACCCAAAAAGAUGAAAAAGUGAAGAAGGAAUACAAUCACAGAAAGAAAAAGGAUUUAUCCAUGUGAAUUACUUCUGGAGCUUCUCUUGGCUUUGCAAGAGGCCUAUGCAAGCUAGGAGUCUAAAGCUCAAGGUUCCUUAUUUCCUGGCCAACUCUUCCCUGUUUAUUCCUUAUAAUUAGAAAUGUUAACAAAAACAUGGUAUGCAAUAGUUACUCUGUACUGCACAUAUUGGUAGUAUCUAAAUUUUAUAGUUUGAUGCAUUUGGUACUGAUGCAUAUAUGCAUCCUCUAUAUCUCUUAGAAAACAUGCUGAUCAGUGAGAUGACUCAGCAGGGAACAGCUUGCCAACAAGCCUAAUGACCUGAGUUCAAUCCUUGGGGCCCACAUAGUAGGAGAAAACCAACUUCCCCAAGUUGUCCUGAUUUCCAUAUGUGUGCUGAGGUGUGCACAUGCCUUCCACAAAAUAAAUGAGUGAAAAAAUAAUUCCAGCAUUCAGGAGGCAGAGGCAGAGAACUCUGUGAGUUCAAGGCCAGCCUGGUCUACAGAGUGAGUUCCAGAACAACUAGGACUAUUUCACAAAGAAACCCUUUCUUGAAAAACCAAAACAAACAAACAAACAAAAGAAGUGUAACUUUCGGGUGUCUGUGUCGUGUAUGUGUGUGUAUGUGCAGGUGGGCAAGUGUGUAUGUACAAGCAUACAAAGGUGAGAAGUCCAUAGGUAUCUCCCUUAAUAUUGCCCACCAAUUCAUCAAGACUAAUUGGCCAAGAGCUUAGGGAGGGUCCUGUUUCUGCCUCCACAGUACUGUUAUUACAGAUGCUCACCACCACAAUGGGAAUCCAGACUCGACCUCUCAUGCUUACACUGCAAGCACAUUACUGGCCGGGCCAUCUCAUCAACCCCCACAACAGGUGAUUCAUGACACCUAUAACCUGGAUAUGUUUUUUGGAAAGUUAAAUGUGUAUGAGAAAAUGUUUAACUAUGUAGUAGCCAACUUAUAAACAGUAUCUAUAGCAUCCUGUUACUCAUCAAACCUCCCCAUUAGAAGUGCUGAAUGUCAGGCUAGGAUACAGCACAGUUAGAGGGCUUUUGUAGCAUGUGCAAGGUCCUGGUGUGAUUCCCCCCGCAAAGCAAAACAAUACAAAACAUGAAAUAUGCUUUCUUGUGAAAUCUUUUUCGUAGUACAACAAUGAUAAAAGCUGUGUCUUUUAAAUUCCACUUGUUGAGUCAUGCCUUCACAAACAGUAUUUGAGGUAAAGCUGUGAGUCUCAACAUUAAAUAAUUCCACCACAUUUUCCUCCAUUUUAAUUUAUUUACUUUUAUUUUCUUUUUUGGUGCAUGUUCAUACUGUAUGUGUGUAUAUGUGGAUGAACGUGGAUGGAAUUGUGUGUGCAUGCACGCGAGGUCCAGAAGUCAGUGUGAAGAGUCUCCCACUAUUACCCUCACCUUAUCUUUUGAGAUGGUGUCUCUCACUGGUCACUGAUUGGCUACUAGGCAGGUCACUGAGCUCUAGGGAUCCAUCUGUCUCUUUCUAAAGGCUCACACCACCUCAGCCUUUAUGGAAGUGUCAGGCAUCUGAACUCCUGUCCUCAUGUUUACACAGUAGGCAUUUCACUGACUGAGACAUCUCACCAGCCCUUGAGUAUUUUUAGAAGAAAAUUUCCCAGUAAUGACUUUAGUAAAAACAAUAACAGGAGCAACAAAAUGACAACAAAAAGUCAAAAUCUUCCAAAUAGAACUAUUUUUCCUCAUUUAAAAAUAUUUCUGGUACUCACAAUUGCAUAGUUUAACAGCCAUGUGACUCUACCAUAAGGAAGACAUACUCUUGGUACUAAAAGAAGAUACCAAGAGGGGGGAUGAUUCUUCUGGAGGAAUUCAUUCCCUUUGUGGAUGAAAAUCGCUUUGAGAACAGGCAUACCAAUUUGUGUAGGUGUAUUUAAAACAGUAUUAUCGUAUCACUAUAACUUACUGGAGAAUAUGUGAGUUGGCAGUCAGUGUAUUCAAUAUUCUAAGUUUAGUAUUCUCAAUGUGAUUGGGUAGAUCAAAACAUAAAUUUGGGAUUCCAAGGAAUGAACUCUUGGGUAGCAAAAUUAGAUUAAUGGCCAUUUUUAAAUUGAUAAGCAUAAUAUAUCUGAUUUGCACAUCCUAACUGUAUGAUAAUGUUUACAUGUGACUCAUCCUAUUCCAUAUAAAUGAGUAAUGUUAUUUAUGCAAAUUACCAAGGACAUUGCCUAGCACAAAGGAAAUAUGUUAGCAUGUUAAUGCAACCACUUCCUUCCAGUUAAAUUUAAUAAAGACACUAGUUAGAAAUCAUUAUAUCCAAAGUUAUGCUGGACUGUCUAAGAAAAUAUAUCUGUUUAACUUAUUUAAGUAUAAAUGUAGGUCAUGAUUUUAAGAUCCAUUCUAACAAAUAUACAUUUAGGUUUCAGCCUAUGAGAAGCAAGAAGAAUACUAUCUAAAAGAUUAUGAAUUCUCUUUACUUUGAGGAGUUUAUAGCUUUUUGCCAUAAUUUGUGGGUAAAACUGUAAAGUAGGCCUAUGCUGUAACUAAAUUUGGAGGCAGUCAUACAGCGAGACCUGGAGUGUCCAGACAGAAUGUGGGCUGAACUCUUUCUGAGUGGACAGAGCAUCUGGGCAUCAGUGAUAGAAUCUUCCUUACAGGAGAAAUGUUUAAUUCAACUUGAGACUUUAGGAAAGUUGUCUAAGAUAAACAAGAGCUUGACAGGUCUUUCACUUCCCAGGAUCAGGAAAUUGAAUGAGAACCCAAGAUCUAAAGUCCCUGUGUCAGCUGGGACUUGGGUCUGAGAAGAGCUGGGACUGGUAAUAUGGGCUGGAUGAACCUUAUAUUCAGAGAACUAGGAAGGGACCUUCACCAGCAGCAUGUUUUGUGGAUGUAAGAGUUCUGGGAAUGGUAGAAUCUUCAUAAGUUCCUUUGCUAGUUAAUUUCAUUUUUGUUUCCUUUUUUGAGGGUGGGAGCAAGGACAGUGUUAGAGAUUGACAGUGCUUGAACAAAAACACAGAGCAAAUAGAGUUGUUGUUGUUUUUUUUCAGUCACACUUUGACUAUAUAUUGGUGUCAGUGAGCAGGAUGACCCCCAUGCCCCAAGGUUCCUAGAGGAAGAGGGAAACCUGCUGCCACUGCCUACCCUGUUGGGCCGCUGAGAGACAUCGGAGCAGGUUCCAUACGCUCGAGCAGUCUCUGUGCUCUUGGGGGUUGGACUCUGGCACUCCCGAGAUGGCCUGCAGCUCUUGAGGGUUCUAGGGUUAGGAUUCUGAGCUCUCACCACCACAAGCUAUCUUCGUGCAACUAGUCGAACAGUGGCAGAACCUGGGCAGCUGGAGGUAGUGUUACGAGCUUUCAUGUAAACUUCACAAAAACUUAAAAAUGAAUUUUAGCAGCAAAAGAUCAGAGACAAGCACGACUUCUUGCUAGCAUCAUUUUCUUGGGUGGUCUCUGUUUUGCUAGAGACAAGCAAAGACUCGAGUGGUUGCUUUAAGAGAGAUUUCCUGACUCAGCAAAAGCAGAAAAAAACUGCAGGACUCUUUAAGAGGCCCCUCUAGCUCAGUUGGCAGAGCAUGAGACUUUUGAUGUGGGUUCCUGCCCUAUGCAGCUGGCAGUGGCAGUGACCACAUCUCCAAGGCGGCAGCGUGCUCCUUGAAAGAUAUCGGCUAAGAAAGCUGCCACUUUAAUUUUUGUGGUGUUGUUUAACAGUUAAAAGACUGCAUGUCCAGAAGAAGGUAAAGAUUUACAAUAAAGACAGAUCCAGAUAAAGAAAAACCUCUGAAGUGUUUAAAAAUAUAUGUAGGCUUGUGAGAGAAAAAGUAACAGGAGGAAAUAGAGUAGCUGGGUGUGGGGGCACUCACCUUUAAUCCCAGCACUCCCAAAGCAGAGGCAGGCAGAUUUCCACAGAGAAACCCUGUCUCAGGAAAAAUGAAAGAAAAGGAAGUAAAAAUAGAAAAAUAGAAAAGCCACCCAAAGAUGAAAAAUACACAGAGAGUCUGGAUACUAUAUGCUAUAUUGUCUUUAAAUUGUUUGAUUGCCGAGGAAAGAGUUUCUGCUACUAAAAUACAUUUGAUUAUAAAUACAGCUAAAUUAAUCCAACUUAUACAUUUUAAAAAUGCUUUGACUUCAAAAUUUAAGUCUAAGGACAGGCUACUUGAAAAAAAAAGUUUUUGCUUGUGUUUCCACAGAAAAUCAAAAGCUGUGGAUUCCUUCCAGACUAAUAUGGUUUGAUCAAGCAAGACCCCUGAAGCUGAGAUGAUACAGUCUUACAGACUAUGAAAACAAGGACUUGGUCGAAUUUCUGUGUUUUAUCAUGAUCCCUAUGGUAUGGACAUCACCCCCAAUCAGCAGGAAGCAGUUUGGAAUGAACUACGCCUAAAUUCCCAAAUAUUGUUUAUAAAUGUUUGUUUUCAUUUAAAUGGAGUUGGUUAUAAAUGAUAAUGAGCAUAGUCAAUCUCUUUUCUUAAAAAAGGGGGGAUAUAGGAUAUAGGAAUGAAUACUUUGCAUUGAUAUGGACUUUCAUUUAUUGAUGCAACUUUAAGAUCAAUUUUGUGAUAUGUAUAUGUCUCCUCUUGUUUAGAUAUUGUGUUUAUACAGAUCUUUUAAAAUGAUAUACAUAAUUAAAUACAGGUUAUAUAGUUAUCUAUAAUAGUCAGAACUUAUAAUUAGGUUAGUUAGGUUUUCUAGAUAUACAGAGAUGUAUUUGAGAUGGAUAGGUAUUCUUUAAUUAAAUCUUUCAAAGACCGACAGAAUAUAUGGCAUUUAAAUGGUUUAGGGUUUUUCUUGGCAGUGAGACACAACUGCUCCUGGCACACCAAUUACAUCAGAAAGGAGGAUGGGCAUCGAAGAAACUCGUUAUGGAGUUUGCUUUCAACAUGGCAAGAUUAGCCAUUUGGGCAAGAAACUACUCUUGCCUGGAUUGUUUGUUGCUGUAUAAACUGGACGUGCAGGACCCACAAGAAAGUGACUGCUGAACUUACAAAACAAGACAGUACUGAAGGGUCCUGUUGAAAUGCAGAAGUGUGCCAGACACACAGCAGAUGUGGUGCUGGAGCUCAGAGUCCUACAUCUUGACUCAGAGGCAACAGGAAGUCAGCUGGCUGUCACACUGUGGGAAACUUGAGCAAAAGAGUCCUUACAGCCCACCCUCACAGUGACACACUUCCUUUAAGAAGGCUACAACUCCCAAUAGUGCCACUCCCUUUGGGGGCCAUAUUCUUUCAAACCACCACACUUGGGUGCAGCUUCCCUGUCAUAUAUAGAAGACACAGCCUCACAGCAGACAUCCUGUCUCUCUGGCUUUUACGAUCUUCUUAAUGCUUACAGAAGGCAUGCAAAACCUUGCAUCUAUUCCAUCUCUAGAUGUAUCUCUGCUUCAGCCAAACCUCAUUACACACUGUUGCUUUCCAGUGUCUUAUCAGCCAUGUGUUUAAGUGCUUCACCCUGAUUAGAACACACUUCCUGUCAUGUAACAUGAAAAAUAAAAAGCCCCAGAGACUGAUAUUGGGGUUCAAACUUCAAGCUGAAGAUCAGAAAAGAAAAGCAGCCAAUCCUAGCUUUUACCUUUACCUCAGGCUGAAAAGGCUGAUCCUGCUGCCUCUCCUCAGAGUGACUGGAGAUUCCUGAGACUGAAUGUCCUCCUAUCCUCAAUGUGUCUGGAGGAUGAAUUCUCAAUACUGAGACCUUGCUCCUGUCUUAUAUACCUCUCAUGAGUUCCAGGAUUAAAGGUGUGAGCUCUAAUUCUCUUUUAAACUGAUUUACUCUAAUGUGUCCUUGGGCGGCCUUGAAUUUAGAGAGAUCCAUCUGCCUUUAACUCCUGAAUCCUGGGAUUAAAGGUGUGUACUACCACCUACUGACCUCUAUAGCUUGUGGCUGACUUUGCUUUCUGAAUCCUCAGGCAAGCUUUAAUAAAUCAUAAAUGAUACAUCACCACACUAUCCUCACCUCAGAUUCACCUGGGAAAAUGGCUUGGACUUUACCAAGACUUAACCCAACUGACACUUACUUCUUGUUUCACACCUUACCUCUUUGCCAUUGUGUCAAGGAGGUGUCUGGGUAGUCACUUCCCACUGAUAUACACAAUCUCUUCUUUUUGAGCACUGCAAUCAGUAGCAUUUCAACAUAGCUCCCACCAUAUCUUACCGCAUGGCUUUCCACUCCUGAAUCUCUCUCCCUCUGCUGUGGGCUCCUCAGGAGUGGAGGUCAAGUUAGUUGCAACAUGUCUCAAGUCACAGUUUGUCCAAUGCCCAUUAAAUGUAUAUUGAAUUAAAAGUUGGAAAAUCUAUGAGUGAACAGAUGUUUGUGAGGGGUGUAAGUGAAUGGACACUGAAAUCAGACUGGAUAGGUAUCUAUAAUUCUGUUCAAUUAAAUGUGAUAGUGCGCUGGGCAGUGGUGGCACACGCCUUUAAUCUGAGCACGUGGAAGGCAGAUCUCUGAGUUCAAGGCCAGACUGAUCUACAAAGCAAGUUUCAGGACAGCCAGGAUUACACAGAGAAAUCCUGUCUCAAACCACUCCCCUACAAAUGUGACAGUGUUAUGUAAACUUCAGAGACAACCUCACAGCAACUCUGGAGCUAAAAUUCAAACCCAGAUCUUCCAAACCAGCACUGUCUGUAAUAUUGCCUUCUAAAUUUAAAAUAUUGGAUCUAGGGUCACAGCUCAUUGGCAAAGCAUUCACCUAGUGCAUGCAAGACCUUAGGCUCAAUAUCUGUUACUACAAAUAUAAUAGGUAAGUAAGUAACAAUAAAGCUAAAAUGGCAAAUUUGAAAACAUUGCAUAACAGGUCAGUAAUAUAGUUUGUUCAGGUUAUUAAGCUGGGUCUUUUUAAAUAGAAGAGACAAGUAAUCCCUUCCUUCAAUACAUUUAACUGCUUUUUGCUUCCUUAUGUCCCCUACUUGUCCCAUAAUGAAAGGGUUCAUUAAAAUUUAGUCACAGUUAUCUUUGGUUGUGCUAAUAAAAUGUUAAUAUUCUUACCAUCCAAACUCAAGCUGGUACAAAAAAAAAAAACUUGCUUCAAAGCGAGUCUAUUUUAUAAAGAUUUCUUCCUCCACUUCCUCCCUGCUACUAUUUCAGCAGUAAUGAAAAUGUCAGGACAUUGGUCAGGUGUUGCCUCUCUCAUAUCCCUAGUUCUGUAGCUCACUCCAGGAACACCAUCCAUGGAUGCUGCCAUCACCUAAGCUACAAAGGGAAAGCAACCAUGUCCUCUUGCCAGUAAUGUUUGAGCACCAUGUGAGAUUUCACCCCCACAAGGUUCAACACAUACCAAGUAUGAUAAACAUGGCAGGUCUUCCUUGUGUGAGUUCAACUCAUCACAAAACAGGCCUUUGAAUUCUUCAGUGCAAUAAGAUCAGUUCAAUGCACAAGUCUUGUCUCAUAAAGCAAAUUGGAACUUCUUUACCAAAAAAAAAUGAUAUCUCUUCAUCCUUCCCACACCCCCCUCCAUUCCAAAGGCUUCCUGAUUGCUCCUCACUUUCCCCAGGUGUGUGCACUGAUAAGAUACUUUGCAAUGAUAUGUAGUGACUUGUCAUUUUCACAGACUUCAAAUUGAAAAAAAAGCCCUCUCCUAGGACUUCAGGUUGUCACCAAGGAAAUCAGGGAGUUGAUAUGGCCUCAGCACUGUCACUGUGUGUCUUGUCUGUGAAUGUGACUCAGAGAGAGAAGGAGAAAUAAAGCCCAUUCUGCCUCAGAACUGCGGAGAUUAGAAAGACUCCAUUCUUGAUAAUCUCUGGAGGAAGGAGAGUCCAGACUUGAUUACGUAGUUUUCCCAGAGCCCUCUAUUAAAAUCUAAUAUGUGUAGCAUUUAAUUUUUAAUCACAUAUAUGCAAUUAAAACAGCCAUCUAAGUUUUUGCAUGUGCUUCUAUAGACUAGAAAACCAUCAAUUCUGAGGUCAAGGGCAUCUGUGCUCCUUCAUACAGAAGGGAGUCUCCCGUAUGAGCAGCCAACAAAGGGAAACCACAAUAGAAAUCUAGAGAACAUAGAUGAGUUAAUAAUUAUUCCCAUUUUACAAGUUUUACAACAGCCACAAUACAACCAAGCCCCACAAAACUAAGUGUUUGGCCUUAACUCUCUUACAUUCUAAACUGUGGACCAAGGAUCUAAUUCAACUUCAUUUUUCCUUCCUAUUCCCUCCCUUUCCUUCCUCUCUCCUUCCCCUCCUCUCCCAUCCCCCCUUUCCUUCCAUCCCCUUUCCUCCUCUUAUCCUUUGUGCAUUCAAAGCAAGCGCCCCACCAAGUAGCCAUGUCUCAGACCCCGAACCCUCACUUAUAAUUAUAUCAACAUUUUGCCAUGAAAAUUCAUAAUAUACAAAUAUGAAUACCAUAAACUGGAGUGAGGUCCAUGAACUUAAAUUUGAACAAAGUAUUUCAUAGGUGCAGAUAGAAUAAAACAGCACAACAAACUCACAAACCUGUCAGCAUGAACUGAGGACAUUUUAUGUGGCAGAGAUGACUAUUAUACCAUUUCUCUUUUGGCAGAACUUAUAUUUACUUACAGUAAAUACUUUAAAGAUAGACUUUAAGGGCUAAAAAGACAAUAAUAUUUUAACUAAUGACUAGACCAUCAAGCUUAUUAAAUUGUUUCAUAAUCUCUAGCACAUGGACUUGGAACAGUUCCAUUUUCCCUUCUAACAGCAUUUGAUACGGGACCUUAGGGACACAUGGGUGCUGGAUGUCACUCCAUAGGGCAUAGUUUCUGCUUCAUUCAGAUGCUCACACCCUGUGAAGAAGUAAAAGCUCAAAAUUGAAUUACCAUGGGUAUAAGAGAAUGAUUGCAAUAUGUGAGCAGUUCUUUUUGUAUGACCUGAAGAAAAUGUAUAAAGAUUUGUGUUAUAAGUAUUGAUGACCCAGCACAGGGAGGCUGAGGCAGGAGGAUCAAUGCUAAUUCAGGACUAGCCUAGCCUAUAUAGUGAAUUCUAGUCCAUUCAGGGCUAUGUAGUGAGAACCUGGAAUUUGUGGGGGAGAGAAUAUGAAUAUAUCGUGUAUGGGGUGAAAGAGUGAGGCUUAUUUGGAAUUAAUUCAGACCAUCUUCCCUCUGAGCAAGACCUUCUUUGUCCUGCAUGUCCCAGCUAACACUAAGCAGUACCCCCAAAUAAUAAUUCAUCAGAACAAUUUUCUUAAGCUUAAUAAAAGUCUCUGAGUCAUUCCUCCAAAAGCCAUCUGCUGAGUCCAAUAUGAGAGGGUGAUUAGUCCCAAGUUCACAACUAUGUCCCCAGCCCAAACGGUCCCAUCUACAAUGAAUAAGUGUGCAGAACAGUUCAGAAACAGAGUUGGAAGAACAAAAGAGAAAGCUCUAAAGUGUUGUGUCCUACUAAGGGACAAUUAACAGAUCCUCAGUCUGUGUCACCUAAAUAUCAUAUAUGUAAAUGGUGCAUGCUCUAUUUGGCUUCAUAUUUUCUGAAAGAAACUCAUUUAAGUUCUUAUACAGAAUCUCUUAAUGUAUCAGUGAGAAGGCUGAGACUACAAGGACCUGCCAAUCACCGUCUCCAUACUACUCCCAGAUUGGGACCAGUCUGUAGUACUCCUUUUACACAGCCCGCACGUUGAUUGCUUCCUGGCAUGAUCAGUGUAGGAGCAGGCCGAGUUUCGUUUCCAAACAUUCAUUCCAAAUAUGCAGCCCCAAAUCCAGAAGAGCUGCUUAGAGAUGGUCGGCAUGUACUCUAAGGAGGAGACCACUUGACAGUACCUGGUCAGGCAGCAAGCAUGGGAUGAAUACAGGCUGGGCUCCUGACAGCGCACUGGAGAAAGAGCACAGGACCAUGCACGUGGCUCAUUUUUACUGUUUAUGAAUUUUUUGUUUAUGAGGCUGAAAUCACAAGCAGAAAGCUGUUUCUAACUCCUCUAGGCCUCCCUCCACAGAAGGAGUGUCACUUUCUAGAACGGUGCCAUUCCAGUUGGCUGAGGGCUCUAUCUAGUCAUUUCAGUUCAUUGAGAAACAUAGAUGAAACCUGAUGGGUUGCAGUAUUACUUUUUGUUGAAUGAUGGGCUCAGGAUUUAGUCAUUAAAGUGGUAUCAUGUCAUAUCAGAAAACUUUCUCAAUGCAUUUGUGUAGUAAUAAAGUAACCUAUAAAACUAUGACUGAUGGGAUUUCCGUAAAAAUGACAUGAAUUUUACAGCAUACAAAAGGGAAUUUGGCAAUGAUAAUCUGUAAAUGAUACAGAUUUCUGUCUUUAAGUUUUUCUUUUUGUAUUUCUGUAUUUUCAAAAAUAUUUUCAAAAUAGAUGUUUCCUUUUAAAAACUUAAUGAAUUAAUAAAAUUAUGCACAAUAAAAUCUCUUCAC